rnacentral:lncRNA from 1 species
CAAAGGUUUUGUAUAGAAGAACUAUACAAAUCCUUGGUAUUUCUAUUUUCUUUUCUACAUCAAUAAAAUGACCCCUUUCUGAGGGAGGGUUGUUCUCAACCUGAUUAUAACAAACACAGGUCAAAGUACGGCCUUUUACACAGGGAUUUGAUACAGACCAAACAGCAAGCUAUAAAGGACCCCAAAAUUAUUAGCGUACACAAUUCGAACAGGAAAACCAACGGUCUAAUUUAUAUAUAUAUCCAAACAGGAAAAUACCAAAUUAUGAACAACAUCAACAAACGAUAACUGCUGAACGACAUGCCGCUGAAUCAAUCAGGACAGGUGCAUAAACAUGCAGUGGCUAUAGAUAGUUUUGUUUCGCCAGCAUACAAUAUAAUUGCAGUUGAAGGCAAAUCCUUCAGAAGUUCUUCGUACUUUAUUCUAACAGCGAACAUGUUUUGAUAGGGAAUAUAAGUAAGGGGGAAAGAAACCAAUUGUUUGUUCUUUACAGGUAUUUCCGCGCUGUUAUAAAUUUAUAUCGGAGCACUCCCUCUUUGGAUAAAUAGGUUUCAUGCCGAAACACAUAUUCUCACAGAUAUUUACACCUUGUGGUGGGGUGAUUUUAUGUUUAAAGUCGUUAUAUACAGGUUAGACUGUGAUUUAAAACAAAUGUUGAUAUCUUUUUAUAAUAUUUACAAAAACAACGGUGCGGGAAAUGGACAUGAUUACAUUUCCGGAUGCGGGAAGCGGGAAUAUAAAAAAAAAUAAAAAAAUUCUGUUUUGAAAAAAAUAGGUGCGGGCGGGUCCGUCGAACAAGGAAUCAAAUUGGUGUGGCCUAAAUU